CAGUCGCCGCGGGAAUACGUAGGUGGCAAGCGUUGUCCGGAAUUAUUGGGCGUAAAGGGCUCGCAGGCGGUUUCUUAAGUCUGAUGUGAAAGCCCCCGGCUCAACCGGGGAGGGUCAUUGGGAACUGGGAAACUUGAGUGCAGAAGAGGAGAGUGGAAUUCCACGAGUAGCGGUGAAAUGCGUAGAGAUGUGGAGGAACACCAGUGGCGAAGGCGACUCUCUGGUCUGUAACUGACGCUGAGGAGCGAAAGCGUGGGGAGCGAACAGGAUUAGAUACCCCCGUAGUCCCUGUCUCUUAUAC
rnacentral:rRNA from 1 species